AGAUGUGAGGGCAAUCUGGCUUCAACAUGUGUCACCCCACUGAUUACCAGGGUUGUUGAUUCAGCUGAUCUGGCUGGCUAGGCAGGUGUCCUCUUCCUCCCUUGCUGCUCCAUAUGUGUCCCUCCCAAAGCUGCGUGCUCAGUCAAAGAGGACGACCACCUCGGAUAGAGGAGGACCAUUUCCUCAGUCAAGGUAUGCGAAUAUCUGCGCUCCCCUUCUAGAACCUCCAAACAAGCUCUCAGAAUGGGAGAAAAUCUUCACCAGCUACUCUUCUGACAAAGGAUUAAUAUCUAGAAGGUACAAAGAACUCGAAAACACCUGAAAAUCAAAUAGUCCAAUCAAUAAAUGGGCAAAUGAGUU
rnacentral:sRNA from 1 species